rnacentral:rRNA from 1 species
CGCCGAAAGGGGUACGUAAUACCGGAUAUUCUUGCUUUUCAUAAGUUAUGCAAGCAAAGGUGGCCGUCUGCAUAUGCUACUGCAUGAAGAGGGGUCUGCGUACCAUUAGCUAGUAGGUGGGGUAAUGGCCUACCUAGGCGACGGAUGGUUAGCGGGUCUGAGAGGAUGAUCCGCCACACUGGCACUGGAACACGGGCCAGACUCCUACGGGAGGCAGCAGUGAGGAAUAUUGCGCAAUGGGGGAAACCCUGACGCAGCGACGCCGCGUGAGUGAAGGAAGGCCUUCGGGUCGUAAAGCUCUGUCAAGAGGAAAGAAGUGUACAAUGGCUAAUACCUGUUGUAUUUGACGGUACCUCUAAAGGAAGCACCGGCUAACUCCGUGCCAGCAGCGGC